GCUUGGCAUGCAGCUGUUGUAGGUCGCGAUGGUCGAGUUUGUACAUGGGGUUGGGGCCGAUAUGGGUGUCUGGGUCAUGGAAAUGAGGAAUGUGAAUCUUCCCCUAAGGUGGUGGAAGCAUUAAGCAACGUUAAAGCAGUUCAUGUUGCUACAGGAGAUUAUACAACAUUCGUAGUAUCUGAUGAUGGUGACGUGUAUUCUUUCGGUUGUGGAGAAUCCGCUAGUCUUGGACAUAAUAUCGCCA
rnacentral:misc_RNA from 1 species